rfam:Ochotona princeps cont2.74762, whole genome shotgun sequence.
AGCGAAGGAGGCUAGUGCUACCAGGGUUAUCGCACAACCUCAGAUACUGGACAAGUUGAAGGAUGCACAAUCGCUUCUGGAUGACGUUCAGAAAGGCCGGAAUGAUGAUUUGGAUGAGAAAAGCCUGCCUAUUCUUUCCAGG